UCAGAACACCAUAACACCAGAAUUCGAAGAAGAGAGAGAGAGAGUUAGAGAGAGGAAAUAACUGUUGUAUUGUUGAUUUGGUGAAUCCUAUCAAUUACAAUGCAAAGGGCUAUUUAUAUCAUUCACUAACUGCUUAGUCAUAACAGAAUUCUAAGCAAAUAACCCUGUACUUGGGUGAUCUACACCCCAUAAUUUAUAGCCUCUCAAGAAGAAUAUUUCCUUCUUGAUUAAUGGAAAUCAAAGGAGAUUUUGUCUUUACAAUUUCAUUCCCUAAUUACAACUAUCAUAACAUUUACAGUAUAUACAAAAUACAUUAUUCUCAAUCAUGUCCAUGAUAUCCGACUAACAUAAGGAUUAGCACAUUGAAGUAUAGGAGAUAAGAAAGUAAGGGACAAGCCUAGGAUGACAUUGUGGAAAAUUGUGAAGAGGAUGUAGCAAUUGUAGAUCUUUCUAAAGAUGUAGCCCCAAACCAUUGUGGAAUGUAGGAAAUAUAUUUUAAUAGCUAGUUUCAACUAGUUUGGGAUUAAGGUCUUUUUUGAAUUGAGGUUGAGUUAUCUAAGUUUGUGUUUUAGGGUUUUAAGAUUAAGGUAAGUUGAAAGAGUGAUUUAUAUGAAAACAUAAGUCUGAAACAAUUUGCUGGAAUUUGAGAGAAUUUAGCUUUUGUUGAGGCAUAGUGGUAUAAAUAACUGCCUUAUAAGGAAGGCUAUAGAAAGUGUGACAUACUUUUAGGGAAGUUGGCUUUCAUGCUGGUGGAGUUUAGUAGUAAGAGCGUGGUUUCAAAUUGCAGUUCGCGGUCAUGGCUGCGAGUAACGGAAAUAGGCCUAUGACGGUCGUAACGUAACGGUAACUGCCUGACGUUAUGCAAAUUUUUUGUGAAAAAUUUGUAAAGUUCGUAAAAUGACUAUAUGUUGGUAGAUACAAAUAAAACUAAGAUACAAAACUAUAUAGUAAGCACAAAUACA
rnacentral:misc_RNA from 1 species